rnacentral:lncRNA from 1 species
CCCCGCACCGCUCGUUUCCCGCAGUGAAACGAAACCAAAACCGAACCCAACGCGGAAAGGGGCGGUGGGCGUGGCCUCACAUAAACCCCGCCCACUUCAGGUCACGCCCACUUUCUCGAGCCACGCCCCCCUUCAGGCACCGCCUCUGCGGUUGGCCUAACGGCGUAGGCCACGCCCCCAUUUUAGGCCACGCCCCUUUCAGCCCCGGUUCCCGUUUGUCCAUCCUGGCUUUGGCCCCGCCCCCGCUUUAGGCCCCGCCCCCUUUCAGGUCCCACAUCCGCCUCCACGCAGGCCACGCCCUCCUUUAAGGCCACGCCCCCGUUAAAAGCCCCGCCUCUGCGGUUGGUCCUCCUCUCCGUAGACCCCGCCCCCCGCCUUAGGCCCCGCCCCCUUCUGGGCCCGACUCCUCCGCUGAUUCGCCUCCUCUUCGGCCCCGCCCCCUACGCCGGCCCCGCCCCCUACGUCGACCCCGCCGCUCACGUCGGCCCCGCCUCCAUUCAGGCCCCGCCCACUGCGCGGAGCGGAGCGGCGCUGAGCGGUGAGCGGCUGCGGGCCGGCGGUUCGUUGUGGGUCGGCGGCUCCUUAUGGGGCCGCGGUUCGUUAUGGGGCCGCGGUUCGUUAUGGGGCCGCGGUUCGUUCUGGGGCCGGCGGUUCGUUGUGGGGCGGCGGCUCCUUGUGGGGUCGGCGGCUUCUUGUGGGGCGGCAGUUCUUUCUGGGGCCGGCGGCUCCCUAUGGGGUCGGCGGCUCCUUAUGGGGCCGCGGUUCGCUGUGGGGCCGCAGUUGGUUGUGGGGGCGCAGCGCGGCCCCCUGAGCGGCGGUGCGCUGGGAGGCGGCGCCGCGCGGGGGUCGGGCGGCCGUUCGUCCCCGCCUUGGGGCGCCCCGCGCCGGGCGGCGCCGCUACGCGAGGCCGGGGAUCGGGGGGGCGGUGCGGGCCGCGCGUGGGCCGCGGGGAUUUACGGGCAAAGCGGAUUAAACGCAGCCCCACAACAGCAGCACCGCCCCGCCCCCACCGGGCGCACGGCGCCGCACCGCGUGACGCUGCGGG